AACGAACGCUGGCGGCAGGCCUAACACAUGCAAGUCGAGCGGACCUUUCGGGGUCAGCGGCGGACGGGUGAGUAACGCGUGGGAAUGUGCCCUUUGCUACGGAAUAGUCCUGGGAAACUGGGGGUAAUACCGUAUGUGCCCUUCGGGGGAAAGAUUUAUCGGCAAAGGAUCAGCCCGCGUUGGAUUAGGUAGUUGGUGGGGUAAUGGCCUACCAAGCCUACGAUCCAUAGCUGGUUUGAGAGGAUGAUCAGCCACACUGGGACUGAGACACGGCCCAGACUCC
rnacentral:rRNA from 2 species